UAGGGGAGCGUUCUGUAAGCCUGUGAAGGUGGCCUGUGAGGGUUGCUGGAGGUAUCAGAAGUGCGAAUGCUGACAUAAGUAACGAUAAAGCGGGUGAAAAGCCCGCUCGCCGGAAGACCAAGGGUUCCUGUCCAACGUUAAUCGGGGCAGGGUGAGUCGACCCCUAAGGCGAGGCCGAAAGGCGUAGUCGAUGGGAAACGGGUUAAUAUUCCCGUACUUGGUGUUACUGCGAAGGGGGGACGGAGAAGGCUAUGUUGGCCGGGCGACGGUUGUCCCGGUUUAAGCGUGUAGGCUGGUUUUCCAGGCAAAUCCGGAAAAUCAAGGCUGAGGCGUGACGACGAGGCACUACGGUGCUGAAGCAACAAAUGCCCUGCUUCCAGGAAAAGCCUCUAAGCAUCAGGUAACACGAAAUCGUACCCCAAACCGACACAGGUGGUCAGGUAGAGAAUACCAAGGCGCUUGAGAGAACUCGGGUGAAGGAACUAGGCAAAAUGGUGCCGUAACUUCGGGAGAAGGCACGCUGACAUGUAGGUGAAGUGAUUUACUCAUGGAGCUGAAGUCAGUCGAAGAUACCAGCUGGCUGCAACUGUUUAUUAAAAACACAGCACUGUGCAAACACGAAAGUGGACGUAUACGGUGUGACGCCUGCCCGGUGCCGGAAGGUUAAUUGAUGGGGUCAGCGCAAGCGAAGCUCCUGAUCGAAGCCCCGGUAAACGGCGGCCGUAACUAUAACGGUCCUAAGGUAGCGAAAUUCCUUGUCGGGUAAGUUCCGACCUGCACGAAUGGCGUAAUGAUGGCCAGGCUGUCUCCACCCGAGACUCAGUGAAAUUGAACUCGCUGUGAAGAUGCAGUGUACCCGCGGCAAGACGGAAAGACCCCGUGAACCUUUACUAUAGCUUGACACUGAACAUUGAGCCUUGAUGUGUAGGAUAGGUGGGAGGCUUUGAAGUGUGGACGCCAGUCUGCAUGGAGCCGACCUUGAAAUACCACCCUUUAAUGUUUGAUGUUCUAACGUGGACCCGUGAUCCGGGUUGCGGACAGUGUCUGGUGGGUAGUUUGACUGGGGCGGUCUCCUCCUAAAGAGUAACGGAGGAGCACGAAGGUUGGCUAAUCCUGGUCGGACAUCAGGAGGUUAGUGCAAUGGCAUAAGCCAGCUUGACUGCGAGCGUGACGGCGCGAGCAGGUGCGAAAGCAGGUCAUAGUGAUCCGGUGGUUCUGAAUGGAAGGGCCAUCGCUCAACGGAUAAAAGGUACUCCGGGGAUAACAGGCUGAUACCGCCCAAGAGUUCAUAUCGACGGCGGUGUUUGGCACCUCGAUGUCGGCUCAUCACAUCCUGGGGCUGAAGUAGGUCCCAAGGGUAUGGCUGUUCGCCAUUUAAAGUGGUACGCGAGCUGGGUUUAGAACGUCGUGAGACAGUUCGGUCCCUAUCUGCCGUGGGCGCUGGAGAACUGAGGGGGGCUGCUCCUAGUACGAGAGGACCGGAGUGGACGCAUCACUGGUGUUCGGGUUGUCAUGCCAAUGGCACUGCCCGGUAGCUAAAUGCGGAAGAGAUAAGUGCUGAAAGCAUCUAAGCACGAAACUUGCCCCGAGAUGAGUUCUCCCUGAGACUUUAGGUCUCCUGAAGGAACGUUGAAGACGACGACGUUGAUAGGCCGGGUGUGUAAGCGCAGCGAUGCGUUGAGCUAACCGGUACUAAUGAACCGUGAGGCUUAACCUUACA
rnacentral:rRNA from 1 species